UACAGAGGUCUCAAGCGUUGUUCGGAUUCAUUGGGCGUAAAGGGUGCGUAGGUGGCGCCGUAAGUCGGGUGUGAAAUUUCGGAGCUUAACUCCGAAACUGCAUUCCAUACUGCGGUGCUUGAGGACUGGAGAGGAGACUGGAAUUUACGGUGUAGCAGUGAAAUGCGUAGAUAUCGUAAGGAAGACCAGUGGCGAAGGCGGGUCUCUGGACAGUUCCUGACACUGAGACACGAAGGCCAGGGGAGCAAACGGG
rnacentral:rRNA from 1 species